GCCUCUGUAGUUCAAUGGUAGAACGCGUCUUUGGUAAAGACGAGAAGAGGGUUCGAUUCCCUCCUGAGGCUCCA
rnacentral:tRNA from 1 species